rnacentral:rRNA from 1 species
GGAGGCAGCAGUGGGGAAUAUUGCACAAUGGGCGCAAGCCUGAUGCAGCCAUGCCGCGUGUGUGAAGAAGGCCUUCGGGUUGUAAAGCACUUUCAGUCGUGAGGAAGGUAGUGUAGUUAAUAGCUGCAUUAUUUGACGUUAGCGACAGAAGAAGCACCGGCUAACUCCGUGCCAGCAGCCGCGGUAAUACGGAGGGUGCGAGCGUUAAUCGGAAUUACUGGGCGUAAAGCGCAUGCAGGUGGUUUGUUAAGUCAGAUGUGAAAGCCCGGGGCUCAACCUCGGAAUAGCAUUUGAAACUGGCAGACUAGAGUACUGUAGAGGGGGGUAGAAUUUCAGGUGUAGCGGUGAAAUGCGUAGAGAUCUGAAGGAAUACCGGUGGCGAAGGCGGCCCCCUGGACAGAUACUGACACUCAGAUGCGAAAGCGUGGGGAGCAAACAGGAUUAGAUACCCUGGUAGUCCACGCCGUAAACGAUGUCUACUUGGAGGUUGUGGCCUUGAGCCGUGGCUUUCGGAGCUAACGCGUUAAGUAGACCGCCUGGGGAGUACGGUCGCAAGAUUAAAACUCAAAUGAAUUGACGGGGGCCCGCACAAGCGGUGGAGCAUGUGGUUUAAUUCGAUGCAACGCGAAGAACCUUACCUACUCUUGACAUCCAGAGAACUUCCAGAGA